CCUGACUGCUAUCGGAUUGAUACUAAGCCAUGCGAGUCUUUGUAGCAAUACAAGGCAGACGGCUCAGUAACACGUAGUCAAUCUAACCUAUGGACGGGGAUAACCUCGGGAAACUGAGAAUAAUACCCGAUAGAUCAUUAUGCCUGGAAUGGUUUAUGGUCCAAAUGAUUCGUCGCCGUAGGAUGGGACUGCGUUCUAUCAGCUUGUUGGUGAGGUAAUGGCCCACCAAGGCUAUAACAGAUACGGGCUCUGAGAGGAGAAGCCCGGAGAUGGGUACUAAGACACGGACCCAGGCCCUAUGGGGCGCAGCAGGCGAGAAAACUUUGCAAUGUGCGAAAGCACGACAAGGUUAAUCCGAGUGUUUCCUGCUAAAGGGAUCUUUUGUCGGUCCUAAAAACACCGACGAAUAAGGGGUGGGCAAGUUCUGGUGUCAGCCGCCGCGGUAAAACCAGCACCUCAAGUGGUCAGGAGGAUUAUUGGGCCUAAAGCAUCCGUAGCCGGCUGUGUAAGUUUUCGGUUAAAUCUAUAUGCUCAACAUAUAGGCUGCCGGGAAUACUGCACAGCUAGGGAGUGGGAGAGGUAGACGGUACUCGAUAGGAAGGGGUAAAAUCCUUUGAUCUAUUGAUGACCACCUGUGGCGAAGGCGGUCUACUAGAACACGUCCGACGGUGAGGGAUGAAAGCUGGGGGAGCAAACCGGAUUAGAUACCCGGGUAGUCCCAGCUGUAAACAAUGCAAACUCAGUGAUGCACUGGAUUGUGUCCAGUGCAGUGCCGCAGGGAAGCCGUUAAGUUUGCCGCCUGGGAAGUACGUACGCAAGUAUGAAACUUAAAGGAAUUGGCGGGGGAGCACCACAAGGGGUGAAGCCUGCGGUUC
rnacentral:rRNA from 1 species